AUUGAACGCUGGCGGCAUGCUUUACACAUGCAAGUCGAACGGCAGCGCGGGCUUCGGCCUGGCGGCGAGUGGCGAACGGGUGAGUAAUGCAUCGGAACGUGCCCAGUAGUGGGGGAUAGCCCGGCGAAAGCCGGAUUAAUACCGCAUACGACCUGAGGGUGAAAGCGGGGGACCGAAAGGCCUCGCGCUAUUGGAGCGGCCGAUGUCGGAUUAGCUAGUUGGUGGGGUAAAGGCUUACCAAGGCGACGAUCCGUAGAUGGUCUGAGAGGACGACCAGCCACACUGGGACUGAGACACGGCCCAGACUCCUACGGGAGGCAGCAGUGGGGAAUUUUGGACAAUGGGGGCAACCCUGAUCCAGCCAUGCCGCGUGCGGGAAGAAGGCCUUCGGGUUGUAAACCGCUUUUGUUCGGGAAGAAAUCCUCUGGGCUAAUACCCCGGGGGGAUGACGGUACCGGAAGAAUAAGCACCGGCUAACUACGUG
rnacentral:rRNA from 1 species